rnacentral:rRNA from 1 species
GACAGAGGUGCCGAGCGUUAGGCGGAAUCACUGGGCUUAAAGCGUGUGUAGGCGGGCCGUUAAGUGCCCCGUGAAAUCCCCCGGCCCAACCGGGGAACGGCGGGGCAUACUGGCGGCCUUGAGCCACUUAAGGGCAGACGGAACAAGCGGUGGAGCGGUGAAAUGCGUAGAUAUCGGGAGGAACACCAAUGGCGAAGGCAGCUCGCUGGGACGUUACUGACGCUGAGACGCGAAAGCGUGGGGAGCAAACAGG